CCUACGGGAGGCAGCAGUGGGGAAUAUUGCACAAUGGGGGGAACCCUGAUGCAGCGACGCCGCGUGAGUGAAGAAGUAUUUCGGUAUGUAAAGCUCUAUCAGCAGGGAAGAAAAUGACGGUACCUGACUAAGAAGCCCCGGCUAACUACGUGCCAGCAGCCGCGGUAAUACGUAGGGGGCAAGCGUUAUCCGGAUUUACUGGGUGUAAAGGGAGCGCAGACGGCUGUGCAAGUCUGGAGUGAAAGGUGGGGGCCCAACCCCCGGACUGCUCUGGAAACUGUAAAGCUGGAGUGCAGGAGAGGUAAGCGGAAUUCCUAGUGUAGCGGUGAAAUGCGUAGAUAUUAGGAGGAACACCAGUGGCGAAGGCGGCUUACUGGACUGCAACUGACGUUGAGGCUCGAAAGCGUGGGGAGCAAACAGGAUUAGAUACCCGUGUAGUC
rnacentral:rRNA from 1 species